UCAGAAUACAGAGUAGAGUUAAGGGCGUGAUGAAUCCCACUUUGCAGCGGGGUAUACUGGUCAAGGACUCAGGUGUCCACCACAGCAGGCUAAUGUUGACCAGUCAUUAGUCUACCGGGAGUACCCGGCAUCACAAUGCAAAAGGUAGAGUGCGAUACAAAGGCCCGUUUAGCAGUCGGGCCUUUUUUUAAUGGC
rnacentral:sRNA from 1 species